GGAGCAAUAAUUCCGGCGGUCCCCAGGGCAAUUUUCUUCGUCUUUGCAGCCAGGUAACCCAACGUUACGAAAACGUCGCCAAAACGCGGGUCAUAAAACGGCACGUCCCGGAUCCAGAGGGCCGCGAAUCCCGCUUUCUCCGCCA
rnacentral:tRNA from 1 species